rnacentral:rRNA from 1 species
CACUCCUGCGGCAGGCAGCAGUGGGGAAUAUUGCACAAUGGGCGCAAGCCUGAUGCAGCCAUGCCGCGUGUAUGAAGAAGGCCUUCGGGUUGUAAAGUACUUUCAGCGGGGAGGAAGGCGAUAAGGUUAAUAACCUUGUCGAUUGACGUUACCCGCAGAAGAAGCACCGGCUAACUCCGUGCCAGCAGCCGCGGUAAUACGGAGGGUGCAAGCGUUAAUCGGAAUUACUGGGCGUAAAGCGCACGCAGGCGGUCUGUCAAGUCGGAUGUGAAAUCCCCGGGCUCAACCUGGGAACUGCAUUCGAAACUGGCAGGCUAGAGUCUUGUAGAGGGGGGUAGAAUUCCAGGUGUAGCGGUGAAAUGCGUAGAGAUCUGGAGGAAUACCGGUGGCGAAGGCGGCCCCCUGGACAAAGACUGACGCUCAGGUGCGAAAGCGUGGGGAGCAAACAGGAUUAGAUACCCGUGUAGUCCCAUGAU